AUCGAACGCUGGCGGCAGGCCUAACACAUGCAAGUCGAGCGAGCGGCGGACGGGGGAGGAAUGUAUGGGGACUGCUCGAUAGCGGGGGAUAACUACUGGAAACGGUAGCUAAUACCGCAUACUAUCGGAUAACCCAUAUGGGAUUGGCUAGUAGGUGAGGGAAUGGCUCACCUAGGCGACGAUCCCUAGCUGGUCUGAGAGGAUGAUCAGCACCACUGAGACUGAGACACGGCCCGGACUCCUACGGCAGCAGCAUUGGGGAAUAUUGCACAAGGGGCGCAAGCCUGAUGCAGCCAUGCCGCGUGUAUGAGUAAGGCCCUAGGGUUGUAAGGUACUUUCAGUCGGGAGGCGUUGCCGACAGAAGAAGCACCGGCUAACUCCGUGCCAGCAGCCGCGGUAAUUC
rnacentral:rRNA from 1 species